AUUGAACGCUGGCGGCAGGCCUAACACAUGCAAGUCGAGCGAGCGGCGGACGGGUGAGUACUGUAUGGGGACUGCCCGCUAGAGGGGGAUAACUACGGGAAACGGUGGCUAAUCCCGCAUACUGUCGGGUACUCCAUAUGGGAUUAGCAAGUAGGUAAGGUAAUGGCUUACCUAGGCGACGAUCCCUAGCUGGUCUGAGAGGAUGAUCAGCCACACUGGGACUGAGACACGGCCCAGACUCCUACGGAGGCAGCAGUGGGGAAUAUUGCACAAUGGGCGCAAGCCUGAUGCAGCCAUGCCGCGUGUAUGAAGAAGGCCCUAGGGUUGUAAAGUACUUUCAGUCGGGAGGCGUUACCGACAGAAGAAGCACCGGCUAACUCCGUGCCAGCAGCCGCGGUAAUUC
rnacentral:rRNA from 1 species